CAUCUUAUUUUUGCAUUGGUUUUUAGCUCCUUACCAGAGCCACUACUUAAUCAUCAUGCUAUUUUUGUUUUAAUCUCUAAGUUACGUGUAUGGUGUAUGAUAAUACUUUUGUUACCUACAAUUAGAUCGGUUGCAUUGGAGAUAGGAAUGAGUAGAUAUGAAUGUUGUUGUUGUGUUGUUGACCUCUUAGAGAAAGAAAUACUAUGCCCUUCCAUCUUUUAAUUCUGGAGUCUGGACACGUUAGAAGUUAUUAUCGUUCUUUAUUACAUCUACUUUUAUUGUAUGAAAAAACAUUAAAUUUCCUUGUUGUUCUUUCUUUUGUUGUUGUACUGUUUCAUUUUUUUACUUGAAAAAAGAUGUUAUGCUUUCCCUUUUCCUAAAAAAUAAUGAAUAUAUAUGUCCCAUCUCUUUCUUUUCUCACAUGGCAUCCAUACAUUAGAUGAAUGAAGACACCGAAAAGGAUUCUUGUUGGAAGUUACAAUGUCUGAAUGUUAUUGUUUAUUAUGUCAUGUAAUGUGAUUCAGUUUAAAGAAGUCUCCUUAUUUAAUCUCAUUGGUAAUAUUUUGUAUUUUAUUAUUGUGAAGUGAUGGAUAUUGAGCAAACAUCUAGCAUUGACCAAACUUAUUUGUCUCUUUUUACUGGUGAAAAUGUGAAUUCAACUCCUUUUGGACCAUCUUUGACACCUACUCCACCUCCCCGGCCCCCAACUACUAUGGAAUGUCCUCCUUCUCUUACAACUGUAACUGAAAAUGAAGCUAUAAAAGAUAGUAGAAAGAGAAAGAGCUCUACAAGAAAGGUAUCAAAAGUGUGGGAACACUUUACUAAAUUAUCAUUGGAGGAGACAAAUGGAGAAGUUAGAGCUGCAUGCAAGUGAUGUAAUUUAGAGUAUGCUUGUGACUCAGGAAAAUAUGGUUUAAUAUCCUUGAAGAGGCAUGUGCCAAAAUGUCCCAAGAAUCCACAUAAGGCUACAUAAAUGACAAAACAAUCUAUAUUGAAUUAUGUGAUACCAAGUGGGUAAAAAGGAAGCUUGGUACCUCACAUGUUCAAUUAGAAAUGAUGUCACGGGGCUCUAGUUGAGUUCAUCAUAUGUGAUGAGAUGCCAUUUAGGCUUGUUGAGAAGGAAGGCUUUAAAAAUUUUGUGAAAGAGUUAGAACCACGAUUUCAAAUCCCUUUAAGAAUAACAGUGGCUAGAGAUGCCUAACAAUUAUAUCUUGGUGAAAUUAGAAUCUUGAACAAUUUGUUGAAGAAGUGUACUAAUCGUCUUUGCCUCACUAUAAAUUGCUAGACAUUAGUUCAAAACUUCAAUUAUUUAUGUUUGACAACCUAUUUCAUUGAUAAUAAUUGAAACUUGCAUAAAAGGAUUCUAAAUUUUUGCAUGGUUGAGAAUCAUAAGGGUGAUACGAUAGGGAAGACAAUUGAAAGAUGCUUAUCAAAUUAGGGCAUACAAAAUGUGUUCACUAUAAUCAUGGAUAAUGCAACUUUCAAUGACACAGCCUUGUCUUACUUAAAAAAGCGUUUAAAGAAUUGGAAGGGUCUUGUUUUGUGGUGGUGAUUAUCUUCAACUACGAUAUUCUAUUCAUAUUCUUAAUCUAGUUGUUAAUGAUGAUUUAAAGGAGUUGAAAGAUACUUUUGAGUCCAUUUGAAAUGCUAUUAGGUAUGUUCGUUCAUCUCCUGCUCGCUUGUAAAGAUUUAAAGAUGUUUGUGAAUUGAAAAUGUUGGAUAUAAAAAGUAUUGUUUGCCUCAAUAUUAGUACUAGAUGAAAUUUUGCAUAUUUAAUGUUGGAUGUUGCUUUGAAGUUUUAAAAGGCAUUUGAAAGAUUAGAAGAUGAGGAUGAAGAUUUUGUUAACUACUUCAACAGAAGUUUAAAGCGUCAUGCUUAAAGUGACUUUGCUUGUUUAGAUAGUAGUAUAGAUGCCUAUGUUUAUAGGCAAGGUGCUGGACCUGAUAAUAACAUGAAUGCUUUUGCUUACUCUAGGCAAGCUCCUCCUAAGCGUAAUGGCCUUCUAAACAAAUAAGAUUGGAAUAAAGCACGGUUCUUUCUUGAGUUCUUGAAGGAGUUGUUAGAUGAGAAUAUUGAAAGUGAUGACCUUCUUCUUAGGGAGAUGUCUUUGAGCAUGAAGAAACAAGGCAAGAAACACUUUGUAUUGCCUAUUUGAGGAAUACUCUACAACAAUUGGUCCUGAUACAAGUAGUUUUGGUAGUGCCAACUCUCCAAGUACUCCUGACACUAAUACUUCAAAUGCAAAUAAAGGUAAAAAAAGACCCUAGUCAUAGAUGGUUAAUAUCCUAAAAGUAGUAAAAAAGCUCAUCAGUUAAUAUCCAAUCAGAGUUGGAUAGAUACCUUUCUGCUAGGGCAUCUAAAGACACCCCUAAUGAUGAUGAUGAUGAUUUUGAUAUCUUGACAUGGUGAAAGGUUAAUUCUAUUAAAUACAGAGUGCUUUCGUUGAUAGCACAAGAUGUAUUGGCUAUACCAAUAUCUACAAUUGCUUCUAAAUCAGCUUUUAGCACUGGAGGACGUGUUGUUGAUGAUUAUAGGAGUUUUUUAUCUCUUAAGAUGAUUGAAGCACUCAUUUGUGCCUAAAAUUGGCCAGUUGCAAGGUAGCCUCUUUCAAAAUUUGUCUCUAUGCUUUAUGAGGUUGAUAAUUUUCAAGAGAUUGACAACGUGGUUAAUGUU